CACACGCUCUGGCAGUCACACACUCCGAAACACUCCGAAACCCCAUGGCGUGCCACCUCGUCGCCGCCUGCGUCCCGCGUCUCGCCGUCGUGUCAUCCUCCGCCUCCGGGGACUCCGUCCGCCGUAUCCGGCGGCGCGCGCCGGGGUCGCGUCCCCAGAAGCCUCCCACGGCGGCUCCGCCCCAGCCGUCCGUCGCGGAGGUGCGGCGCGCCAUCGGGGCCGCCGACGACCCGUCCGCCUCCGGGAGGGAUAAGCAGUCCGGUUUCAUGGAGCUCCUCGCCUCUACGCCGAUCGGGCAGCCGGAGAGCGACGCUGAGCGCCGAAUCCGCGAGGCCGCCGAGUGGGUGGUCGACAACACCGAGGCGCGCGCACAGGAAGGGCAAAAGUCUAUCUUGGUGCUAUGCAUGAAGAUCUUUCCUCUGUGGCUGUUCCUCAUGCUUACUGCCCUUGGAGUUAUAAAAUUACCAUUUGAUAUUCCCGGUCUGGAUAUGGAUAAUCUCCUAAUGUAAAGUCUUAGAUUGUUUCUUCUCCCAGCUAUAUGAGCAGCGGAUACUUGAAAAGAAAAAAGUGAUAGAUAUUGUUCACACUAUUGAAGUUGCUUGUUUCGUAAGACAACAGCAGAUGAUGACUUAGAGUCAGUCAUGCCAACAGAGGAGCCUCUCUGCUCCCAUGUCUACAAGGCUAAGUACAAAUUAUUUUGGUUGUUAGAGUUUAAAGCAGAUCAUAUGCUAUAAAGGUUUGCUGAUUGAGUCUGUGGAAUUGGUUAGCAUGUGAAGAUCUGGAGUGCCUUUAUAGAGACAGAAGAAUGAGUUCACUCACAUGCAAGUACGCAGCCAAGUUGAAUAAGUUGAGUAUAUAAUUUAGGAGACAGGCUUGUAUUCUUUAUAUAUAUUCUUCUCUCUCCUGGAGUGCAAUCAUUUUGAGAGAUGGAAAUUGGCAAUGGAUUCCGAAACUUAUAACAUGGCUGAAGCAGCCAUGAGUUGAGCAAUGCACCAGACCAUGUGAGCAUCCAUGAUCUCACCAGCUUUUUGUUCAGGCAUUUUGGAUUGGGGCUAGAGCUAGACUUGUUUAAGCUCCUACUUUUCAUAAAAAGCCUUAUAAUAUCAUGCAAGUUGCACUGUGCAGAAUUAUUUGGUAAUUCAAUUAGAGUUGCCACACAACACAAGAAUUCAUUUAUAUCAGACAAGGAUGUUCUUGGAUAGAUAAAUAUAAGUGUUCGUACGUUGAGUACUUUUAAGAUCUCUUGCCUUCAAUCUGUCUGACGGGUUGGUAGGAUCUUAUGCAUCUUUGGUUAGUUUUGAGCAACUUUAAUUAUUUUGUUCUUCUGUUGGUUAUUUUGUAGAAGAGCAAAUGAGUUAAAAGCCAGUUCUCUUUAAAUAUUGAAGAAUCUGAUCUUGUUUCCUUAGAACUUGCAGAGGAGGCAUAUUGUUCCCGACUUAUCUAUCCUCCGAGCAAUUUUGUUAAGCUGCACACUUGAGAAUAUGCCAAUUUAUCCAGAAUUGCUGACUGUGAUAUGUUCUCUUCAUUUAUGCAUGCACGGGUCUUGUUCCACUUCAAUUGGUUAGUGUUCUAGUGGUGCAACUUUCCUACUAAUCCUUGUAGCCACAACUUUGCUGAGCUUUGAUAUUAAAGAGUUUCAAUAGCUAACUUCAGUUGUCUUGCUGGUUCUCGUUCUUUUUUGACUCUCAUGCAGGCAACCCAUGCAACUAUGUACAGUUGUUGCCUAACCGAUUGACAAACCGGUUCACCGAAACAAUAGUAGGGCAAGAAUGGAGAGCUAUAUGAAGAAGGGUUGAUGAACUCUUUGAUCUUUUCACGGCUGUAGUAAUGGGACCUGUCUGGUCUUGUCUAGCACUAUUUCUUUACCGCAACAACUUAUAAUUUCCCGACCAUACACAUGGUUGUCUAUUAACUUCAGAGACCAUCAUUUGAAAUCUUCCUCUCUUUCACUAAAUAAAAUAAAAUGACAUAAAUUUGAAGCCUUCCUCUGAUGGGCCUUAUAUUCUCAUCCAUAGCUUGGGCACUGGAUUCUUAAUGGUGGAUGCUGAGGAGAGAAAUGUUGACAUCAUCUGCUAAUGGCUAUACUGAAGGCACAACUACACACCAAAAGUGAAUUCUUCAUAUUGUGUGAGUUCACGUUGUCCGUUCGUGACUAGUUACAGUUGCCGGGAUUUGUUUGUACACUUCCUCAUGCUUUAUCCGCCUCGAAUAGGAGAAAUAUUGGUACAAUGGAGGUUUAUGAAGAGAUGGUUCGAUACCUGCAUACCUCCAUUGAUAUAUGUGUUACUCGGUAAAAAAUGUAUUUUAUCUGCAUCCUUGUGUUGUUCUUUUGAAUGCCCAUAUUUUUUUUUGAAAGGAACAAAUUACCUUACCCAAAAACAUAUGCUGUAUCAUUUGAAAAGUAUUUCUGUGUACCUCAAAUUGUGAAAAAGGCACUGUCCGGUUUGUUGCAAAAGAAUAGUUAUUCGAAAUUUAGGAUAAAUGGAUAAUAAUCUAUAUCUGAUCACAUCCAGAAAAUUAGCUAUAGUGGUAAUAAUUUUAUUUUCAUUAUCAAGUAUCCAGUUUAUUUAGGUGCACAUUAUCUAAUAUUCUAAUGCAUGUGUUGAUUCUACUCUUAUAUGGAAAUGGAGGGCUAAGCUGGGCAAAAGACAGAUUGACGAGUGCGUGUUCAUUUUUGGCUCAGUUUUAUCUGUUUAUUCCCUCUUCGAUACCUUUUACUGAAAGUGAUGAUCUUUAUAUAAUGUUUCUUGUUGCUCACAUGUUCAUUUUGUUUUGCUCCCUAAGGUGUUUUUUAGGACUGCAAGUCUUUAAGUUCAUCAUUGUUAGUGAAAAAACAACAAAAUGAUUACUGCCUCAGUUGCCAGCCUAGCUCAUUACUUAUUACUGCUAAUAUUGUUAUUAGCUAAGUGGUUGUUCCCUAAUAAGGCCUAUGUUCAUUGCAUUUGCAGAUUUUGUUGUGAUAUGUUCAUGGUUCCCAACAUAAGCAUUGAGCUGUUGAGAUAUAUGCUUUGAGUGUGGAAUUUGUUUUUGUUGAGUUCAUGAAUUCUACAUUUUAUGCUAGGAUUGGCUUUGUUGAAGUGUUGAAGCACUAAUAGUACUUGUUCCAAGGCAAGUAGUACUUUACUUUUCCCUAACUAGUUGCAGUUGACUUAGUUUAAGAUUAUUCUGCAGAUUGUAAGCCUAAAAAAUAUUAAAAUAUAAAGUUAUGCAGCAAAUAAUGGAGGCACAUAAUUUGUUCAUUCUCCACUAAGCACUUUAAAUCUCUUAUUAUAUUGAGAAAAUUGCAGACUACAAAAAGGCACCUUUUAAAUUAUUAAAAAGGAAGGCCAAGAUCAUACUGAGAUCAUCCUUCAGUUAGGAAGUUUCUUUGUGAUGCCCUCAUCUUCGAUCCUCAGUUUUGUUCUAAUAUUACGGCCUCAGUAGCAUAACACAGGUUCAAUGCAUAUGGAGAUUUUCUUCUGAUUUGAUUCCAUCGUACAUGAUUAAUGUUCAGCCCCGUAAUAACUACUGCUUUCCCUUGCAACCUUUUUGUACUUAACGAUGUCUUGUAGUGAUUGCAUGGAUGAUGUUUGCCUAGCUACAGGUGUCGAGUGAAGACGUAUGUGGGAUAGAUAAGUGCAUAGUCUAGGUGCAUAACCACACAGAUGCAUAUAUAACUCUAGCCAUAUCCUGUGCACACUAAUCUGUUGCUAAUGUCACAAGAUUUGCACACUAGCCAUAUCCCCUGUGUCUCUUCCUCUCUUACACCGGGGACAUGUAAACGAUAUUUGCGGUAGUUAACGAAAACAAUUACCUUGAUCUAGGGAACUUAUUGUCAAUCUAGCUGCUGUUUGGGGGAUAAGAAACAAAGAUAAUUUAUGGUCUUGUAUCAAGGACCCUGUCAUCUGACUAGAAGGUGAUACGGAAACUUCUAAUUCUGGGAACGGGAAACUGUAACAAAGGUUACUAUCUAGUUUUCAUGGCACUACAAAAGAAAAAUACUUUUAUGUUGCAUUCAAAAUUAUUCAGUUCUUAAGAUGCAUCAACAAAACAACCUGUUGUUUGAGUAAAAUGAUCUGAAGUACAUGGAGCACUCAUAUACUUGACUCCCCACUCAAACAAUUUUCUGAGUCCAAGAAUUAUGAUGUGUUCGUAUCCUACUGCUGUCCUAUGCUGCUGACUUGAUCACUGUCACCAGGAUGUGUAUCAAACAUAGCUGUAAUGACUAAUGGAAGUACCACAUUGGACAUAGCUCCAUCCCGCUGCAUGGAAAGUGAAAUCAGACAAGUCUCCUAGAAGUCCAAACUUUAAGCCUAUUGUAGAGCAUUUCAUAAAUGUACUACUACCAGGCGUUAACAUCUGUCAAAAAUAAUUUGAAUUAGUCGGAACUGAGAACUCCAUGCCAGUGCACGUAAAGUGGAAUCAGACAAGUCUCCUAGAAGUCCAAACUUUAAGCCUAUUGUAGAGCAUUUCAUAAAUGCAGUACUACCAGGCGUUAACAUCUGUCAAGAAUAAUUUGAAUUAGUCACAGCUCCAUGCCAUUGCACGGAAAGUGGAACCAGACAAGUUUCAUAGAAGUCUGAGUUUUACCCCUAGCUUCGUCGUUUGUGUAGAGCAUUUCCUAAUUGCCGAGUUACCAGGUUUUAACACCUGUUACUGGUAAGCUUAAUCACUUCUACUCUAUGCAUCAAGGUGACCUUCCUGGAAGUUUCCCUCCAAGCAUUGGUAGGAUAUCUUUUGGAGUCCCUUUCUUGGAGUCACUAAACAACCUUUCAUCUGCCUUUGUUGCAUGGAUGGAUGGAUGCCCACUUGAUCUUGUCUGGUUUUACCACUGUAAUUCUCUGGGGUGGUCAUGGCCAUUGCAUACUUUAAGCCUUUUGCUAGCUCCUAAGCUCCAAGCAAGUAGAAUAAUGAGUAGGAUAAGUUUAGGGUCAGAAGUGUGCCUCCUAGUGCGUAAACAAACUGCCUGCAUGUGGGGGGUAUGAUGUCCUUUUGAUAUGGCAUAUCAUCCCUUGUGUGCCUCUAUAUAAAGGCCCCCCAACUCAACACCCCUCUCAUCUCAUACCACACUAGCCACCAGUCCACAAGCUGUCUGUCUAGCUGCACUCCUCCUCUCUUUGCCUUGCACCAAGCUUCCCGAGCAUACCAUGAAGAUUGGCGGCCAGGGGAAGCUCAACAGGGCUUUCAGGGAGAAGAGGGCUAGGUUCUACAUCUUCCGCCGCUGCGUCGUCAUGUUGCUCCGAUGGAGCGACUGAUGGGUCUCUCCAUGACGGAUCUUGUUUUUUCCUUCCAUUCUAGGAUUUUUUUUUGGCACUGCCAUUUUUCAGGGUUAGAGUAGUUUAGCUGUAGUCGCUCUGUAUAGGCUAGACUUCAUCAUUUGAGGUCCUUUUUUCUCGGCAAAGGGAGAGAGAUCCAGCUCCGUAGUCUGAGGCUGCCAUCUUCUUGUACGACUGGAGAAAUUAAAGAUUGAUGUGAAGAUCAUUUCUUACCUGUU